rnacentral:rRNA from 1 species
GACGAACGCUGGCGGCGUGCUUAACACAUGCAAGUCGAACGGAAAGGCCUGCUUUCCCUUGUGGAUUGCGGGUACUCGAGUGGCGAACGGGUGAGUAACACGUGAGUGAUCUGCCCCCAACUUGGGUAUAAGCCUGGGAAACUGGGUCUAAUUCCCGAUAGGACUGCAGGGUGGUGCCUGUGGUGGAAAACGAUUUUCUAGUGGUUGGGGAUGAGCUCGCGGCCUAUCAGCUUGUUGGUGGGGUAAUGGCCUACCAAGGCGGCGACGGGUAGCCGGCCUGAGAGGGUGGACGGCGACAUUGGGACUGAGAUACGGCCCAGACGCGUACGGGAGGCAGCAGUGGGGAAUAUUGCAGAAUGGGCGGAAGCCUGCUGCAGCGACGGCGCGUGGGGGAUGACGGGCUUCGGGUUGUAAGCUCCUUUCGACCGCGAGGAAGCCACCUGGUUGGGAGGGUGGUGACGGUAGUGGUAGAAGAAGCACCGGCUAACUACGUG